AUCAUCCUUUCCUUGGGGUUGCGCUACUGUCCAAUGAGCGUGCCGUGAGGGCAGUACUGCUAACGCCUAAGCAACACACUCGCAUCAACCAAAGCUUUGCUUCACGUUGGUGCAAUUUUUGGAAAA
rnacentral:ncRNA from 13 species